AGGUGACAUAUGGGUGGAUAAUAUAGGAUAGGUAAUCUAAGUAAUAGAUGACACAGGGUAGAUGAUAUAGGUGACAUACGGGUGGAUAACAUAGGAUAGGUAAUCUAAGUAAUAGAUGACACAUGAUAGAUUAUACAGGUGACAUACGGGUGGAU